UGUGCGCCGCCUCUCCUCUCUUCCACCGAGUAACGAACGAAAAGAAUCGAGCGACAGCCAUCAGCACCAGCACAACGAGAACGGGAAGCGAAGGCACAGGGGCCGGAGAGGCGGAAGAGACACGUCUCCGGGCGGUGGCCGUUGUCCUCGCCCCGCACUUCUCUUUGCUCCUUGUCUUCUUCCGCAUCGCUGGCGCAGAAACAGCGGCCCCUUCGGGAGUCGCCUCGCCUUUUCCUGCAGGGGUCUCGGGUGUCUUGACUCUCCACCGCUUAAGGGAAGGGGGAGUGUGCUUGUGUGCAUGCGUGGGAACAGCUGCUCCCAGUACGGGCCACCGCGCGUUGUCAAGCAGGGCGCCCUACAUCGCAGCGUUAUUCCAACAGCAGCAGCAGCAGCACACACACUCGCAUCUGCUCUUUUCUCUCGCUGUACUGGCUGGCCUUCAUCGUUUUCCUCCGUUUUCACAAAGCGCGCGCGGGGGGGGGACAGAGCGAGAGAGGCUUCCGCCGCACACUUCAGACACACACGCGCACACACGCACGUUGAGGCGAUGCAUGCUGAUUGAUCUGAUAGAAACGAACACCGAUACGCUGCUGCGCCGCGACUCACUCACUCACCUCCUGUACAAAACCCCACUUUGAUGGAGCGCAACCGAUGCGACCGCGUCCCCAUGGCCCCCCUGCCGCGUGUGUGCGUGGCCCUGCGCUGGCGAGAGGCUCGGUCAUGGCGGAUGGAGGAUGAGCAGAGAAGGGACGCGCCUGCAGAGGAAACUGGGCUGGCGGCGGCCAAUUUGGGUGUCAUCGCAACCGGCCCCGCCACCGGUGGCGCACACACGCAUAUCGAUCCGUCUGCGAAUGCUCCAGGUUCGACUUCAAGUGAGGUGACAUCACGACUGUGCGUGCUGCGCCAGCGCUACCUGCCAUCGGCUUCAUCACUGUCAGCAUCAAACGUGCUGCGCCGGAGUCGACACCAGCACUCUCGCGGAGGUGAAGUAGCGCACGCUGGGGAGGCUGGCAAGGUCGUCGGCUUGGGCAUGCGCGAUAGCGAUCGCUCUGCAGCUUUCCCCUCUUCGCCCUCCGCGUCGGCGCGACCAGCCACGAUGGAGGUGGUUGUGCAGACGCCGUUCAUUGCUGUCGAGGGGCUUGGUGCCGACGCAGCCGCUGCCGCCAGCGACUAUGCGCAGAAACGUCCGGUACGGCCGCAACAUCACGCCGACGGGCCUGACUCAGCUUGUCUCACCUACACAGACUCGUGCCUCACAGCGAGGCUGGCUGAAGUGAUCGCCGAGGAGCUCUUGCAGGGUCACGCUCUGCAGCGGCACGGAGGCGUAGGCAGCCACAGGAUUCGCAGUGCCUCGGCAACAACCGCAGCAGCCACAGGAGAGAACCGUGAAGUGCUGACUUUCACCAUGGGGCCGCAGGGCGCGGCCAACUCCUCUUUUCUCUUUGGCGGCACGCUGGGGUGGCCAUCGAGGCAGCGAGCGGCGCCAACGACGGUAUCGCAGUCAUCCCAGGCUUUGAGCGGAUUGUUCGCCGCCGUGUUGAACCGUCUUUUCGCGCCGGCCAACGCGCCUGCUGACACCCGCGUUGUAGCAGCGAUGAGUGUGACGGAGGUGCGCGACGCGGCCCCGCUCCGCCAUCCUUCUGUACUGCAGCGACCGCGAUCGACGGUGGACCUGCUCUCUGGCACCGUGCUGCGCACCGAGAUCGACGAGGUGGAGGGGCUGGACGACUCUGUCGAUCACCCGUCUGACAUACCGGCAGCCUGCUAUGUGCGUGUGGAGUCUAUUCACGACGCCAUGGCGGUGCUCUACGCGGCUCUGUCGUGCUCGGCCGGCUGGCGGCACACUCACCUUCUGACAGGCGAGGCGGGGCAUCCAGAGGCGAAUGCGUUGUCCUCGUCGCCAACCGCCUUCGCGUUCUUGCAGCCGGCAUGCGAGCCGCUGGAGGAGAGGAUGUGCCACGUGUGUGUGACCCUCAUCGUUUCCUGCGAGCCCCUCAGGCCCCUGCAGCACCAGGAGGUGCAGCAGCAGCCGCCGUGGACGACGCAGCGCGCUAUGGAUAAUUUCAGUGACGAGGCCGGUCACAAGCGUGGCUCAUCCGGUCCUGCCGCCCUGCUCUCAGCGGCGCCAGAAGUGCCGGCGCCAGUUGGUAUCUGGAAGCUGUGGGACGUGGCCGGCCCCAGCGUGUCCUGCGGCUACCGUCCACUGAAGACCUCUUCUCCAAAGAGUGCAGAGGGUCAGGGAGGCAGAUCUGCAGUGGGCCGCACAACGACGGCCCCGGCAGCCGAAAGACGCGCCGCUCCCGCGCAGUUGCCCACACCGCGACUGCCGUGGAGCAGCCGAUACAGCCUCGCUGCCCUCACGCACACCUGCCUCGCCGAGGUCGGCGCUACCCUGAGCACCUUCGCUUUGCCCUUGUCUAGAGGGCCCGUUGACAGCUUGAUUCCUGUUCUGCGCCAUGACACCAGCACUUCCCUCCAGAUCGCGUCUAGUGCGGUAUCAUCGUGCUCCCUGGUCGUGCCGAUCUGCGCUGUGGUAGCGGAGGCGACAGUAGAUGACGUCAACAGCGAGGUGCUGGCUGCUGCGGCUGGCUGGGCUGCACUUGGGCGAGAGCAUCAGCAGGAAGGGCAACAACACCACCAGGGGCUGCCCCGUGUGCGCGGUCUCGAUAACGAAGAUGCAGCGAGGCGAGUGCUGCACGAGUACGCGGUGCUGUUGAGGGAUUUUGUGGCAGAGCGCUAUGGCGCAGCCGAUGAAGGUGGCACUGCUUCACCUCCCUUUGCUACAGCGCGAUCGCCAUCGGCGUCGUUGAUGGCUUCGCAGUUGCCGGCUAGCAACGAUGAGGAAGGGUGCAGUGCGAGGCAGGAAGCUGCGCGCGUUCUACGAGCUCCUCCGAUGCAAGCAUCACUGCCCACCAGUGUGGCGGCCGACAGCUCCCGUGUUGCGGCGGCCAGCGAGUGCGGCGCCGCACUGUGCGUCGGUGCCGCUCCGAUGAGGCGUAUGUCUAUGAACACUGUGGCAGUCGGCACCCACGCGGCGGUGACAGCGCCGCUCAGCAUCAAUGUGACUGGGGACGCGGAAGACUCUCCCGGCUUUAGCCUUCGGCCACGGGUGGAGGCGGAUGUGCGAUCCACAAAGCUCGUGGACGUCCUACAGCGCGUUCACCAUCAGGCUCACGCUGAUACACGCGCCGUGGGAGCAGUGAGGAGCACAGACGAGGCAGCGCUUUCUACAGCCCCUCCUGCGACUGCGCCAGCCAGCGUGGCUGACACGUGCGCCACGGCUGCGACACACGCUGAGGAGGCACGGCUGCAGCGCUUCCACGCUCUCUUCGAGUCCGAGUCUUUCGAUGUGGGCGAGAAAGCGGAGGCGACUGCGGCCAUGGAGGCUGUGAGGCAGGAUGAAGAGCCCUCACUCUUUGACACAAGGGGCGUCAUGGCACAUAAGGGGCAUCACAAGCAGCAGACCCCUCUACCGCAGCACACACCACAAGUGGGGAAUUCCGGCUCUCCACCUUCUGUGCUUCGAACCGGUCGACGCCCAGGUGCUGGGGCACAUAGGCGUGAGCCAAGCUCGCUCGAAGGACAGCGAGCGCCCCUGCCGUCAGCGCCAUCACACAUCGGCGUCGAGUCUGCGGUACAUGACUCGAUGGCAGACGUCGACACCACCGCUGCGUCUCUGUGCCCUCCCCAAGCACUCCUCUUCGACACAACUAUCGCCUCUCAAGGGGAAGGGUCGUGUGCGGCGGAGGUCGUAGCUUCCGCCGCCUGUGACGCUGCACCUCACGCCUGUGAGGGCCCGACUCACACGCCAGCGCCUUCCUUGCCACCUCCGGAUGGGGCCCUCGCCGCCUUUCUGGGGCCUUACUGUGACGAGUUUGUGCGGCUGUGCGGCCAAAUGCGCACCGACGUGCAGGCGUGGCGCGCGCAUGAGGCCGCGACGCUUGAUCAGCUGUCUGCCCUAGCAGAGCGUCACACUCGCGAUAUACAGGAGGUGGCGACGCUCCAGCGGCGUCUAGCCGCCAAUUUUGGCACCGUGGACGCUAUGCCGGGCUCCAGCGGAGCUUCGACGUUGGCUGGUGCACGAGACCGCAGAGCCGAUGUUGGUGCUCUUCUUCGUAGUGCGCUCACUGGCGGCAACCCUGACCUUGCCGCGUCUCACAGCGCGACCUUCGCGUCCACCAGCACCCUCAUCUUCGAGCAGCUCGUGAGAUCUGAGGAGAAGGUGACAUGGCUGGAGCGACAACUCGUGGAUUGGCGCCGUCGUGCGCGCGAGGCGUCCAUACUUGACACGAGAAGCACAAACGCGGACGCCGCGCCGCUGAUUGCAAGCGAAGGGGAUGGCGAGUCGGCGCUGGAGCUGUCUUCCUCCCCUCCUGCAGUGGCGUCGAGGGUCUCCGCGACGGUGGGGAGUGUCUUGUCUGGGCCGAGAGAGGACCCGGCAGCCCCGCACAUGCGCGAGGCCGAGGCGCUUCUGCGGCGCCUUCUUCAGCGCUGUACUCGCGCCUACGCAGCAGCGCAGCAGCAGGGAGAUCGCUGGCACGCGCAGUUGGCGCAGGAGCAGGCGGCCAAGUCCGUGUUACAGGACCGCGUGAUGGAGCUGGAGGCAGAGCUGGCUGGGUUGCGCCGCCAGCGCAGCGGUGCGGCCGCUUCGCCGUAUCUUCACCGCCUUCCUGCCCCGGCGAGAGAUCGGGCUUGGAAUGGUGCACACGCAAGUGCUGCAUCUCGUCCGCCCACAGACUCGCCACCUAGCUGCUUUGCUGCACCUCCUUCUCCAGUGGCUGCGCUGGGCUCCCACUCUCUAUAUUGUACGCUUGAUGGCGUGGAUGCGGAGCGCUCCUUGCUGACUGCUGCGCCAGUGAGUCCCAUCGCCAGCGACGUCGCCUCGUCGCUUCCAUCAUCUUCGGCAUCUCGCGGCUUACAACGCCGGUGCGACGACGUAGCAGAACCUGCAACACUGUGGGACCGCAUGAACGCACAGCGGCUAGCCACGCGCGGAAGAAACAGUGCAGGUGAUCGUGCCGGCACCGACUCAUUCGGCGCUGUCUCAACUCAGCUAGCGGUGCUCCUCUCGCGCGCCGUGCAGGGCGGGGACGCCUGUGCCCCGUCCGCUAGAACUCAUCCCCACGUUGGCACUGCGGCGGCAUCAUCGACGUCAGUGGCGGCUCCAGCGUCUUUGUUCGAAAUUCAUGUUGGUGCGUCAAGCACCGUCUCGAGCAGAGGCCCCGACUCGCCCUUCCGCCGUGACGCCUCACGCCAUUCCGCUUCAGCGUCUUUCUCCCUUGCCGGUAAUGCUCCGGAGGUGGCGGCGCGCGCCGGCGACCGAGCCAGCGACGUAGAAAGCCGCGAACGACGGCAACGUCGACCGCCGCCAUCGCGAUCGCAGCACGAGCGGCAUGUAGAGGCGGCAACGACACCGCCUUCGACAACGCACCGCAGUGCACGCGGAAUCGACGAAGGCACGUGCGGUGGUGAAGUGCUGCACCAUCACGUCGGCACUGGAACGAUGAAAAUUGGCGGUGGCGCACUGGUGUGUGCAGCAUCACACCCGCCACCAUCGCAGUGCCACGCUACCAGCGCUGGCGAGCUUGAAGUGUACCCCAGCGCUGCACUGGAGGCUCUGGAGAGGGCUGCCACGCAGCUUGAGGCGGAGGCCGUGCGCCUGUGUGGCGCUGCUCACAACACAUCGAGUACCGCACCAUGUAGCCAGUGCCACGUAGCGGCGAUCGAGCGUAGACAACUCAACGGAGGCGAUGAGGUGGCUGUUCGCAGGGACGAAGACAUCAGAGCUGUGCAUUCCUCCUCGCCCUCUUCUCUCUGUCAGUCUAUGGGGCAGCUUCGAUCUGCGACGCAGGCCGUGCAGCGCGAGGCUCGCGACGCUGCCGAGCGCGAGAGGGCGUACCUCUCUGCGAUACUCUUUUCCUCUACCGCCGCCGGCUCGGAAUGACAUCUAAAUACACGCGGAGGUGUGUGUGUGUGUGUGCUUGGCUGAAGCGAUGGUGGUGCCAAGGCGGAGCGAUCACGGCCGACCAUGACUGAGGCGAUAUAUGUCAGCAGUGAUGAACGGCUCUUGUGUCUGUGCGUGUGCCCUUCGCCUUGCCAGCGCACGCGCUGUGACAUGUGCAGGAGCGCCACCACUGCUGCAAGCCGGCCAUGCGCUAUAGCAGGGCCGUUGGGGUGGGUGGGAGGCCGCAUGGCCAAGGCAAG
rnacentral:misc_RNA from 1 species